GGGCCUACGGGAGGCAGCAGUAGGGAAUCUUCCACAAUGGGCGAAAGCCUGAUGGAGCAACGCCGCGUGGGCGAAGAAGGUCUUCGGAUCGUAAAACCCUGUUGUUAGAGAAGAAAGUGCGUGAGAGUAACUGUUCACGUUUCGACGGUAUCUAACCAGAAAGCCACGGCUAACUACGUGCCAGCAGCCGCGGCAAUACGUAGGUGGCAAGCGUUAUCCGGAUUUAUUGGGCGUAAAGGGAACGCAGGCGGUCUUUUAAGUCUGAUGGGAAAGCCUUCGGCUUAAUCGGGGCAGUGCAUUGGAAA
rnacentral:rRNA from 1 species